GCCGGAGUGGCGAAACUGGCAUACGCUGUGGACUUAAAAUCCACCGCCCGGGAGGGCAUGCGGGUUCGAGCCCCGCCUCCGGCACCA
rnacentral:tRNA from 1 species